CUGAUGGAGCACACCGCGUGAGUGAAGAAGGGUUUCGGCUCGUAAAGCUCUGUUGUUGAAGAAGAAUGUGCAAGAGAGUAACUGUUCUUGUAUUGACGGUAUUCAACCAGAAAGUCACGGCUAACUACGUGCCAGCAGCCGCGGUAAUACGUAGGUGGCAAGCGUUAUCCGGAUUUAUUGGGCGUAAAGCGAGCGCAGGCGGUUUUCUAAGUCUGAUGUGAAAGCCUUCGGCUUAACCGAAGAAGGGCAUCGGAAACUGGAUGACUUGAGUGCAGAAGAGGGCAGUGGAACUCCAUGUGUAGCGGUGGAAUGCGUAGAUAUAUGGAAGAACACCAGUGGCGAAGGCGGCUGCCUGGUCUGUAACUGACGCUGAGGCUCGAAAGCAUGGGUAGCGAACAGGAUUAGAUACCCUGGUAGUCCAUGCCGUAAACGAUGAGUGCUAGGUGUUGGAGGGUUUCCGCCCUUCAGUGCCGGAGCUAACGCAUUAAGCACUCCGCCUGGGGAGUACGACCGCAAGGUUGAAACUCA
rnacentral:rRNA from 2 species